UUUAUCUUUUUACAUAUUAAAUAUUUUUAAUUUAUGUAAACUAGCCAAUAAUUAACUAAAUUUAUUCGACUCCGAGCUUGAGCAUAUUAUAAGACACUGUUUAGUUUUUUGCUUCUUCUUUUUUUCAGCAUCCGGUCUCCUUAAAACGAUUUAGCGCACUGUAUGUUAAAAAACAGAUGGCAGUUUAAGACAAACUAUUAUUAACAGACUGUAAAAAUAAAUGGGAAAUAAUGCUAAAUACAAAACACAUGCCAGUUUUUAAAUUCAAUAAUUAAUCAAUCGAUAAAUUAAAAAAUUCGCCUUAUAUAUACAGUAAUGUGAUAAUCGAUUAAUAAAAUUCUAUACGUAAAACGUUCUCGUUUGCGUUCGUCAACUGUUGUAUUGCUCCUUCUUAAACUUCACGAACUUUAUAAACUUCAUGUCGAUGAAAGCACUACAAGUAUCACUUACACGUCAGUAUACUUACGUAAUACGCAUUGUGUGAUGCUCCAUGGAAAAUUCGUGCGAAAUAGCAACAGCAGUAAAUAGUGCGAAUCGUGAGCGAAGGACCGUCUCUAAGAAUGCCCGUGAUAUGACGCUAUGCGAAUUAUUCUUCUUAUCGUAUUUUACAUUGCGACUUAUGCGACAAGAAUCGCGAUUGGUGGCGAUAUUGCCAAAACAGUGCCAGGUAUAUACAAUUUGGAUGACACCAAAUUCCUCUCAACUGAUCUCUUCGUUAAACUUCUUCGCAAUUUUUAUAUCUAUAUAAAAAAAACUUGCUUUAUUUUGUAUCAACGACCGUUAGUAAAAUUGUUCUGAUAUUAUCGCAUAUAUUCUUCUAACAUCUCUUUCUCCGACGUUCGCAGGUAACGGCAUGAGAUACAUUUUUGAUGAGAAAAAUACAACGCAAAGUAGAAUAUCUGAAAUACCUAUCGAUGCUGAAAUUCAAAUGGUGAAUAAGCACAACAGGCAAUUGCUAAUAGAGAAUCAAAUCGAUGGCUCCCCACAAAGCAGUAAAAUUCCAGACAAGUUAGAACGAAUCAAACGAAAUCUACGAAAAGGGAAGAAAUAUGCGAAGAAUUCUCAUAGCAAAAUCGCGCGUUAUCGGAACGAUUACGUGGGCGAUGACUACGUCGAUGAGGAGGGAUUUCCGAUCUGGCAAGUUUUGGAAUCAACUAUUCCGGUUGCCACAAUUAAUCUAGACUCUACGACGAUGAAAACGGAGAUGAUUAACGGAGACGAUGAGAAUUUAGACUACGAUCGCUCCUUCAAUGAGGCUGCAUUCCCUAUCGCCGAACGAUAUCCAAAUUCGCGGAGAUUAUUUGACAUGAAUGGUUCUAAAAGAAAUCUAAUACUUUCCAAAACUGCGAAUCCGAAAUCCAAAAUUAUGGUCAAUGUACAGAGCUUUGAAGGAUUGAAUAAUAAAAUGCUGCUCCCUGCGUAUCGUCCUAAAAUACUUGGCGCGAAUUCCUCCGUGAGCUUCAGCUAUCCUAAAGGAUUUCAACGGCGAUACAAUGGACGAAAAAGCUCUUCAAAUCCAUAUACUUCUAGAGAAGAAGUAUUUAAUGAUCGUCUAACGGGGUCCAAUAAAACAUUUUUAUUAGUACCGGUUUCUAAGGACCUGUACGUUCUGAAGGAUGUCCAAGAGACAGGCGUAGAUAGAAUAAUUAUACCUGAGAGAUAUAAACCGUUAGAAAGGGAUAAGGAUAAUGCAACCUCCGCUAUUCUCUCGUUCAAGGCGCACAUGCACCACGAUGUGAAAGACGUCGGUAGAGCGUAUCUUCCGAGAGGCGAUCACCGUUUAUCUGAUGAGAACGCGAAUUAUUUAUACUCCACCCUUGAUUCACGUAUUCCCGAAGAAAACGCGAAUCCCACGGUGCCGCCGUCCUAUCCCGACUUCCUGUAUCCGGGCGUCGCCUUUCAGAUUCGUCCGAAUUCAAUCGACGCUGUUUCCAAGAUUCCCGAUAAAACUGCUUCUCCCGUUUCGGAUUACGACAAUAUUUCCAUAGUGGAUGUUCAUUCACGCGGCGGAACCAAUCCCUAUGACUUGCCGCCAUUUUUAUUAUCUUCCACCCUUAAUGUUCCUAAUUAUGAUGAAUCUUUGAAGGGAAUUAAUGGUCAACCAAGUGUUGAGUCUGUGACAAAACUAGACGAUGAGAAUUUGUUUCAGGGUAGCGAAAAUUACGAAAAAUCUCCGGGGUACAACGAGUUUGGUGUCGAAUUGACAACUGCGAGCUUCCGAGAUACUUUUGACACCCUCGACGACAAUAUAUAUACGCCAGUCACUUUGGAAAAUGUUGAAAUUGACUUAACUAAUGAAGAUAAAGAAGUAUUCGAUAUGCCACAAGAUCGAGAAGACGACUCUAAAUUUUCGACAGAAUGCAACGAAGAUAAACCUACAGUAGACUUUAUAGAUGACAUUGCGACGCGACAUGGCGCUGCCUUUGACGCAUCUGCAAAUAAAGAUAAUACUUUCUUUUCGAAUAUUACAUGCACCUUGGUUAAUAACGCUGUUUUAAAUAGCGAGGGUGUAAACAAAAAUAAUCAAGAAUACGGAAUGUCAGUUCCAAGCGAAUAUAACAACGAAAAGUUAACUCAUUCUAUCAAUUUCGAUUACGACAAUAGAUUUAUUGAUAAAACGCCGUUUAGUAAUUAUAGCACCGGAGUCGAUUGGCUCUUUAAUACGGAAGAGUAUGUGACAUCUACGUCGUUGUCUCCAGAUACCGAAUGGCCAUUGAAGAAAGGGCAAUCUGAUGUGGCAAAUUCGCGCGUUCUCUUAACGGCAAUUAAACCGUUAUCCUCGGAGUUACAAAAAUUGCUGAGCGCAAUCAAAUUAGUCAAUCGGAGCCUGAGCGACGUGCAAGACAGACUGUGCGAUAAAAAAAACAAUGUCAGAUCAGCGAGGACCGAGCGAGAGGACAGAAGGGACACACAUUUUGCGAGGCUAGCUGACAAAGUCGAUCGUUACGAUUCUGAUCUCUCUACAGAAAGUGUUAACGAUCAGUCUUCAGACAACAGACGUAUUAAGAUCGAAGGUGUUGCAGAACGUAACGUGAAAAUUAGAAGAAAACCCAACGAUCUCUUUUUAAAUAAAUUAACGAGAUUGUCUCGCAAGCGCGAGAAUUCGAUUAGCAAUUCAGACGUACAGGGUGGUCGCGGAAACUUCGUCAAAAAGAGAAAAUUUAACGAGGGAGAGUCUCCGAAAUCAGGCGACGUUGAGGGACGCAGAUUGCCUCAUUCGAGAUUUAAUAGAAAUUUGAAGUCUCUAACGAAAAGUUUAUACGAGAUGCGAGUAAAGCCAAUGCGACAGUUUAUCGAAUCCGGAUUAAAAAGAAUGAAACGCACAACGACGCCUAUUGCAAGACCGUCGCGUUUGAUUAAAAGUAACAUAUUGAGGGAAAAUAAUUUUGCAAGUAGACGCGCACAAAAUCAUCAGAUAAGCAAAUCAAUAAUGCAACUGAAUAAAGCAUCCUUCUUUGAUACGUCUACAAAGAAGGAUAAUUCUGCGCAUUUCUCGUCGAAUGACAAACGCGAUCUGACGCAGCGCAAUGCGGAGCAAGUAGUGUCGGGCGAAAUAUCUACUUCUAACAAGGAUAAGGAGAAAAAAUUCUCUCCCACUGAUCCGCAAUUUUACAAAGAAGCAACGGCUUAUCUCGACAUACUUCGAUUGUUGGAUAAGACUGAGAAACCUUACGUAGAGUACGCAACCGAUGUGACCACACAGAAUUUAACGGGGUCGUUGCCACCGCUGAUUUUUACAACCACAGAAUUUUCUGCGUUAACAUAUUCGCUGUAUUUCACCGAGGCACAAACAAUUACAGCUUUAAGUACAGUAGCGGAAAAGAAAGAAGCUUUCGAAGUGACCGAAUCGUCUUUAUACGAGUAUGUAACGGUUACUGAUUUUGAAUACAGCGAGAGCUACGACGAACGACAUUAUACGAGAAUGGCGCAACUGCCGGUUACGCUGAGCGCUUUUACCAUUACAAUGCCAACUACGUUGCCAUUAUUUUAUACGACAGAAUUAACAAUUCUUCCGAUUGACGAAGCAUUCUUAACCACUGAGAUCAUUACUAUACCCGUAACGGUAGUUGCGCCAUUCACUACUGAAGUAACCGAGAUUCCCAUCGUAAUUCCGACGAUAGAAAAAUACACGAUCGAACCUGUCAUGCUGUUGACUUCAUUUUUAGAGGGUAUGACGGAUAUUACUUUGAAAAUUACGAUCCCUGCAGCCACUGAAACUUUGGUCGAAGAGACUACUGCGUUAAUUGCUGAGAGCGUGACUACGGCGGAAGAAACUGUGGAACCUAUCUCUACGACUUCGGCGACGGAAAUAGCGCAAAGUUUAUUUGUUGAAACAAAUAUGUCUUUGUAUACAUUCGCGACGCUUUCGUUAGUCAAGACUACGGAAACAGAAUUAACGAUUAAAACUACAACUUCCAUCAUACCAGUUUCGAUAUCCCUGGCAAAGAGUCCUCAAAUUGAAACAUCAGAAUCUACAUUUAGCGAGAUUUUGUAUAAAACUGAGAUUACUCCUGCAAUCGCAAGUUCGCCUAUAAUUUUAGAAAGAACAGAAACAAUUUUGAGUACGUCGACAGAGGUCGAGAUAGCUACGUUAACACCAGAAGACGAGAGCCCAGUGACACAGAUCGAGAAAACUAUAACGGCGGAAGAAACAGCUACAGAAAUCCCGACAACUAUUGAAACUUCAACGCCUACUGAAACCACAAUAAUCAUUACUGAAAGUUCAACAACAGCUACGGAAAUUUCGACGUUUGUAAAAACUACAAUAACUGAAAUUCGAACAAUUAAUCAAACUUUAACAACUGCGAAAACACCAACAUCUAUUGAAAUUUCGACAACCAGCGAGAUGCCAACAACCAGUACAAUUCCAACGACUAUAGAAACUACAAUAUCUAUUUUGACAACUUUCAAAACUCCAAUUACUAAAGGAAUUACAAGUGCCAAAACAAUCACGCCCACUGAAACUCUAACGCCUAUUGAAAUUAAAACAACUUCGGCCGAAAAUUUGACAAUUACCGAGAUUUCAACGUCUGCAAAAAUUACAAUAAUCACCGAAAUUCCAACAAUUACGGAAAUAUCAACGUUUACUGAAAUUUCGACAAUCGUCGAGACAUUAACGAGCACAAUUCCAACGACUGCAGAAACUGUAGUAACUACAGAAACUGUAACAUCUACUGAAAUUUUAGCAACUACCAAAAUUCCAACGACUAAAAAAACGACUAUCACUAAAGCACCAACAAUUACGGAAAUACUAUCAACUACCAAAAUUCAAAUAAUUACCGAAAUUCCAACAUCCACUGAAAGCUUAGAAACCACCGAAAUGGUGAUUUCGACUACACAUGUGGAAACAACUGAAAGCACUUUCACUUCUACGACAACACCUGUUACAACAGUUUCAAUUAAAACUACAGUUCCUACGUUAAAAUUAACAAGUACAACGCCGUUGAUUACAAAUACAACGAUAAGUGAAAUAUUCCCUACCACAAUUCCUAGCACAUUUUUGACUACGACAAAAAAACCUGUUACAACUUUUUUUAAAACUAUAGUUCCAACCACAGCAACGCUUAUUACAAGCACGACAAGUGAAACGCCGAACACUACGCUUUCUACACUUUUAACAGAAGAAACUACAGCCUCCCCGAUAUCUAUGACGACAGCGUCUUCACUUGAGACAUCUCAAACUACGACUGUAUCGUCUGUAAUUUCUACAACGGUGUCUACAAUCGAAAAGAUCCAAACUACAUUACCCAUCACGAUCGUGAAUGCGACAGUUUCUACAGCUGCUACCGUAAUCACAACAGAAAUCCUCGAAAGUACAAUGUCUCCUGUUAUAUAUUUUACGGUAACAACGCCUACUGUCACUAAAAUUCCAAUCACGACUAUUGUAAUGGAUACUGGAACAACAGUUUACAAAACUACUUUAAUUACUUCAUCCUUUUUAACUGAGACCAUCGAAAGUACGACGUUCUCUGUAACAGAAUAUGAAGAGUACUACUACGAAAGCACAAAAGAAAAAAUAACAGCUACCAGUACAAAAGAACGUACAAUGAUUUGGCUUACUACAGAAAAAAUUACUAUCACUGAAGGAACAACACCCUCAUAUUUUAUUGAAACGACUACGGAAGCAACUCCUCUUGUAAUCGAAACGAUUACUUUGUCCACGGUACCCGAAAAAAUGGAAUUGAUUGAAAAAAAUGUCACUGUGACUCCCCUAACAACUGAGGAAAUAUCUACACUUUCGAAAGUUACUUUAACUUCUACUGAAACAAGUACAGUGUCAGAAACAGAGACAAGUGUUACGGGUACCAGCUCAGUACUCAUAACAGCUGUGACUACUACUUCACUUUUGGAAGAAACUACCACAGAAAUUACGGAGACAAGCUUGAUGGCAGUUAUACCCUUGUCAACUACUGAACGACCGGAAUAUAUAACGAUUUUAGAAACUGGAGUCAUCGUGACACUCGCUCCAUUUUCCGAAUCUGUUCUGUCGAUAAUAAUUACAUCGGAAAUGCCUCCCACUGUACCAGAAGUAUCAGAAAUUAUUUCUAUAUUGCCAGAAACUGUAUCAGAAGAAUUUACAACGUCAACGACUGAAAGUUCACCAAUAAUAUAUACUACCACAUUAUUUAUCGAAACAACGGCCGCUAUUUCAGUUUCGGUAGCAACUACUGAAGAAACUCUAGAAGCUGAAACGGAAUAUUAUGUAACAAAAGAACCAUUCUACAAAGAGGAAUAUGAAGCGUGCGAAGAAUAUGAGACGGGAAUACCGAGCGAAUGGCAUUAUUACGAGGAAUAUGAAACCACGACGAAGAAAAGGACAACAGUAGCGGUAAAAUAUACAAAAUUGUCUACAGAAAAGGCGACAAGUCCGCCUUUUGACAAAGGUACAACUCCGUACAAAGUAGGGACUUCCGAGUUAACAAGAUACUCAACAUCUUUCGAGACUACAUUGACUUAUACUAAUGAGACUUCAACGACGGCUACCGCGGAAAUAUCUUAUACCGAAGAAGUUACUUCGACUUCUUCCUUGGAAACGUCAACAUCGGCGAUAUUUGAGAAUGUAACGACGGUUGAGGUAGAAAUUAAAUUUACCGCGUCUGCCGCGAGUGAAGAGACAGAAUCAACAACGACGACGUGGUUAAGCUUUGGCACUACCGAGGAGUACACUCUUCCCCCUUCGACAACUUUCAGAAUCCCGACAGAACCACUUGAAUAUCUAACAAUUGCUCCCAGGUAUACGGAUGCAGAACGCUUUAUCUUGCCAAAAUUUGUCACCAAGCCUAAAGAAAUUCCGGAGAUUAUAUUGAAAAGAACUACGACAGCAGAAGAGGUUUCGACAGACACUGAGAUUGUAGAGAAGUUAACUUCUUUCUCCGUAUCACCGGCGCUAACAACAUUAACGGAGAAGGAGGCUUUUAAAACUGAAGUUACUUUGGCGAUAACGGAUGAAGAAGUGACCCUUCCGCGUAUCACGCCGUUUAUCACAUCUGAGGCUGAAGUUGAAUUUACUACGACAAGUAAAACUGUCGGACGAGAAGAACAGAGAAAACAGUUGUUGCAACGACUCGAUGAUCUUAAACAGUAUGAGAGAGAGAUGGCGGAGAGAGAAGAAAAGCUGAAGGAGAGGGAAAAACAGUGGGGCAAAGAAAAGGAGAAACGCAGGAAAAUGAUGCAACGUGAAAAAGAGAAGGAAAAAAAUGUUACAAUAAUAGCUGGUACAACCGAGGGUAAUGUCACGACGACCACUAUCGCCGUCUCAAUUACAUCUCCCGUUGAGACUGUUGGUACAGCAAAUUUGACAGUCUCCACUAUCACAGAGACUGAAGUCGCAUCUCCUAGUUUUGAUAUGUUUACUACAUCGAGUUUAGUCGAAAUUAGUACGAUUUCAAGUGAAACAACUCCAUUUAGCGUUACAGAAGAAAUUACAUCUACGACAUAUACUACGGAGAAGACAGAAGAAAUGACAACAGAAGGAAGUACGUCUAUCACAUAUGCUACAGAAGAAACAGAGGAAGUUACAUACUACACAACAGAGAAAAGUACAUCUAUUAUAUACAUUGCAAAGGAGGAGGAGAAAGAAUAUGUCACCGUAACGUCAUACGUCACUGCACCUAUGGAUUUAUAUACCCUUGGUUUGGCUACAAUUGAAAGUACGACUUUUUAUACCAUCGAAGAAAUGUAUACCGCAAGUUACGUAUCUGAAACAACUCCAUUCAGUAUCACGGAGGAAACUGCAUUUACUACGGAGACAACGACUAUGAAAGAAAGUACAUUUAUGACGUAUGCAGAAGAAACAGAGGAGACAGUUAAACCUUAUAUUACAGAGAGCACAUCUAUUACAUAUCCCGUAGAAGAAACAGAAAAAGUACAAAUUACGUAUUAUGUAACUCCGACGCCGUAUGUAACUACGUCUGUCACGGAUUCAUAUAGUAUCGGUUUACCUACAAUUCAAACAACGACUCCUUAUACUAUCGAAGAAACGUAUACUACAAGCUACGUAACCUUUUACAGCGAACCUUUAUUUGUUUCGCCUACUAUUACCAGUCCAAUUACAUCAACUAUUGGUAAAUUUGUCACACUACCCAUUGCUACGUUUAGUGAAAGAUUUGAGGAAGUCAGUCCAACUUCAGUUUCAACUCCUGCUUGGUACACCGCAGAAAGAUACACAGCAAUUUAUACGGAUAUUUAUGGUAAACCUUUAUUUACUUCACCGGCAUUAGAGUUUACUAGCACAACUGUUUCGUCAACUUUGGUUAUUAUCACGACUACAGAGAUAAAAUAUGAGGAAAUAGAAGAGGAAAUAGAAAGAUUGAAAGAAGAAUUGCGUUGGAAAGAACGCAAGUUAGAGGAAAGAGAAAAGAUUUUAUUGGAAAGAGAGAAAAAAUUAGAGAGAGAUAUAAAGGAAUUUGAAAAGUAUAUGGAAGAGUUUGAGAAGAAAAAAGCGUCAGUUACAUCGUCGAAAAAAUCAACUGUGCUCACAAGUUUAUCGACGCCAGUGCCGCCGACUGAAAGAACCACUGUAAAAGUCCCAACAACGCAGAUUAAAAGGAUAACUGAGAAGAAAGAAAACCAAAUGACAACGAAGAUGGUAACGUCUCAACAUACAAAAAUAAAAGACAUUGAAGAGGAAAAACGAACGAAUCAUACACCUAAAAAAACUAUCACGCAGGAAGAAGAAAUCGUGACGAAACGGAUAUGUUUGAAUGUUUUAGAAAAUACGACGAUACCCUUAGAUAAAAGAAGAAGAGACAUUGAAACCAAAAAGAUCUGUUUGCCGUACAUACCCGAGAGAAAUGAAGAGAAGUCAGUCGGUCGAUUAAGUAGAAAGCUUCUUGCUUUACAAAGUACGAGAAAAAUUAAAAGGCCAAAGAGAGAUGUUCCAUUAGAUCUUCGGUAUCGCGGAAGGAUAAUAGACACUACGCGUAAAAUUGACAAUCUGCAGCUGUCGCGUAAUGAAUGGUUGAGCAAUGAAACCACGAAGCCGCUGCGACAUUUUAAAGGUUUCGCUAGGAUUUACAAAAAAAUAAAUUUUCAAAAAACAAUUAAAACUAAUACUGACAUGCAAAGAAAUAUGACUGACAAAUUUCUAAAUAGAACUCCUUUAUAUGAACAACGUGUUUUGGAUCAUAAAAGUUUCUUUCAACCAACCGCAAUAUCUAUGUUAGACAAUAAGGAAGAUAAAACAAAAAACGCUUUCUUCAGAUAUAAUUUAAUUUCUGAAAAAAGAAAUAAUUUCCUCACUGAUGACAAAGCAAGUAUCCAAAAAAGGGACGUUUCAUUAAUAGAAAACAAUGAACGAUUUUGGUCAAAGGAAAGUAGAGACAAUAUUUCGAAUCAAAAAGUAACAACUGCAACAACCGAAGAAAAUGGAUUUUAUACGGUGAACGUAUUACAUCUCAAUUAUAAUGAGGAUAAACAAACGCAUGAAGUAUUAUCUACUAAACCAAAUAAAGACAAAUUGACAGCAAUUUUAUCUGAAUCGAAUGAUAUUUAUAGAACUGAAUUCGGUAAGAAAAUUACAACACCAUACUAUGAGGUCGAAGAGAAAGAUGAAGAUCUAGAAGAAGAUGAACUGUCAGAAGAAGCUGAGAAAAAAAUAGAAGAUGAAAAAGAUUAUAUCGAGGAUUUGAUAGAAGAUUAUAUGAAUUACAAGGAGAAUGAAACAUCGACGCAAACACAGAAUGGAAGAUUCAAAGAUGACAGAGUCAAGGAUAAAAAAAUGACUGAAAAUGAAAGAAAAUUAUUAGAUCAAGCGUGGCCCAUCGAGAAAAGCAUGUCGUAUCAUUUAGGCGGCACUAGAUUUUGGGAGCUCGACUUUGUUACAGAACCAUCGGCUGCAUUGCAUACGAUUGAUAAAAACAAAACGACCAUCGACGUGUCAAACAUCAGGACAACCUGUUUCGACGUUAUUCUUAAAAACGAAACUGGCGAAGCAAAGUCUAAUGUAUCUUAUCACAAGCGCAACAUUCAUAACAAUGAGAUGGAGAAGCAAGUUUCUAUCGACAACAGAAGUGCCAGUCUUAAAAAUGUAACGAGAAAAAAUGCGUUGCGUAACAAGUUAAAAAUGGAGCGAGCCAGGCAGAUAGCGAGAAAAUUAAGACGCGAUUCGCAAAGAUCGCACGAACCGAAUGAUUACAAGCGGAGUUUCGAAGAAGAGAGAACAGUGAAAUUUAACGAUUUCCGGCGUACCAGUAACGAAGAUUUAAUAACAGCGAAAAAACGCAAGCUGUGCGGUGUUAAUGCAAACAAAUUGAAGCGUCAAAGUGUUAAACACAAAGACGCUACAAACAAACAUAAAAAGAAGCAACCAGCAAAGUCGCAGACGUUACAGAAUGUUACGAAUUUACGUUCCAUUUAUAAUACAGGCAAUUGUGUCGCGAAUAAAAAGAGUAAUUAUCGUCAAACGACGACUGCGAAUCAAGUAAAAACUACCAACAACAAGAAGGCUAACGAGAAACUGACGCAUUCCACUGCCGCUAACCAUAAAGCUAAACCUAGGUCGCGCGAAAGAAAACUUCAUAAUUGUUUUAAUUGCAUUUGUGACGUCGUGAACGUAAUUAGCGACAUAAGAUCUUUACUGGACCGAAUAAGUUUCCCGUUAGACGAAAUUAAAGCACUUAAUUGCAGCAAGUAUAAAGACAUCCAGGAUAAAAUAGUAAUCACAACGGAUUCCGACAUGGAGGAGACUAGAGAAUUUCCACAACCGCAUUACAACAUUGAGUCGCUGAAGGGCCAGAAGUAUAUCAAACUGGAAGAGCUGGAGGAUAAUUUCAAGAGCGACUUGGAAUUUGACAGCGAUUACGAUAUUGUUUCAUUACCCGGCCUUAAUCUCAACUUACCCUGCAAUCGAGACAGCGAAGGUAUCACUUGGCUAUCGAGCGUCAGCAGACCGAGCUACACGUGGAAAAGGGCGGAUGGCAUCGCGCUCUUCGGUUUCGUGGCGGAAAAUGGCGAUUUGGAAUUGCGAAACGUGAACGCGAAGGAUACGGGAAACUAUACUUGCGUGAUGACGCACAUCAACCCCGACAACGAGGAACCCGUGGAGACCGCUUACGAGAUCCAUUUGCAAGUUGUCACGCUACCGAGGUACAUUGUGCACGGAGAAAAUCGUUACCACGUACGAUCUUGCGAUGAAAGGGAUUUGGACGCGUUGGUGACGUAUCUACCCCUAAAACUGAACAGCGUAAUAUGCGAAGCGGAUUUCUGCAAUGCUUAUGUCUUAACACCGACUUGCUCUCGAAGUCAAAUUACAAUAAAUAUUCUGCUAGUUCCUUCGCAUAUCGUUAAAUUAAUGAUGAUCGAUCCUAAACGCUGCAACGUAGUCUGUCUUAAAACCAUUCAAGAUAAACUCUCCCUGAUACUGAGUACAAAUUUGCAAAUCUUUCUCAGGAAGACUAAUUACCACAUUAUGAGCAGAGAUUGGUACCGGUCGUCAAAAAGUCGCCGUUCGCAAGACGAAAGAGAGGAAAGACCGAUACAAACGUGUCCGCCGGGAGAUCCAACAAUGUCGGUUUAUUUUCCAGCUGUCCAGCAGGAUACGGUCUUCGUGAUAUACGUUGUGUUCCUUGUAAUGUGGGCACUUAUAGCGAGGAUGGAGUAUCGCAUUGUAAGAAAUGCCCGCCUGGCACAUAUCAGCCGAAUCACGGUGCCAGAGUUUGUCGCACGUGCACUAAUCCAAUGACAAAAGGCUGUUAUAAUAUGGUGCAUGUUCAAUUGCAAUUUGUAAAAUAUAUAGUGUUCGGCAAUAUAUGGAAAGAAAUUUAAGGACUAAUUCUAAAUGAAAAGACAAAAGUAAAAAAUAACAAAGCCAUAACUAAGACGUCGUAAUUAACUGUAGUUUGUUAAUUAUAAAUGUCUAAAUCUUCACGUAAAAUGUAUUUAAACCACGUGAAUAUUUAGAUAUAAUUUAGAUACAUAUAAUUAAAAAAUAAAACCUUAAUUGAAGUUUUGUUAUUUUUGAUUUCCGUCUUAUUUUAUUAUUUAGAAUUCUCUUUAAAUUUUUUUCCACUUGUUGCUCAACGUUAUAUACAACAUUUUAAAAUUAUAUCUAACAGUAUUUUGAUUUCAGUGCACAAGUGUAAUGUUACAAUUAUUAUAUGAUAUAUUCAUAAAUUUCUUUCUUUCAUAGCUUUGGAAUUCUUUCUCCGCUGUAAUGGUAACUUUGGCAAGUAUUGGCGCAAUGCUGUCGAUAUGUUUGUUACUAUUAUGGCUAAUUUGCUGCGCUAAAAAGAAAUUCUGCAUAAAACGAAUAGCUGGUGUUGUCACUAAGGAAGAUUCGUUUGAAAAAGAGAAAUACAUGGAGGAGCAACCUUUGAUCAAGGAUGAAGAUCAGCAAUGGUAUAGAAUUAAGAAAAAGAAGGGAAAGUUUUAUCUAAAUAAAAAACGUCGAAAACAAAAUGAAAGAAGAAAAUGCGGCAAGACGCACGUUCGUACAACUGCUAAAUAUAGGACAAAUUUUUGUUACAAUUCUCAAAAAAGUUCACCUUAUUAUAAAUUUAACAAAAUUAAAGAUUGUUAUUGCCUAAAGCUAAUUUUGUUUCUGAUUUUCGAUAUAGGUACACGAUGAUGAAUGGGAAUUGCAUCGCACAAAAAAUGCUCCAGUUAUUAGCCCAGGCUCUUAUCAAUCUCAUGAAGAUUACAACAAUCGUAAGCAUUUUUAUAUAUACAUAUAUAUGUAUAUAUAAAAUAUGUAAGAUUCUUUAUCCUACUUUUUCACAUGUUACGCGUUACAUGUAUUCGUACUUUUAUGUAAUAUAAUAAUCAUCAACUAUGCAUAGAUUAUCCAAAACGCUCGCAUCGUAGAGGACCACAGCUGCCAGAAUGUGAUUUUGAUACAUGACAAAAGAUACACAUGUAAGAAGAUGUAUUGCGAUGCAAUUAGCGCGGAAGAUAGUUACGUAGUCUAGGAGAAGCUUGUAAGAUACUUUAGACUCAAUUAUUGAUUGAAAUACUAUGUAACAUUUAUCCAAUGCAUACAUCUAUUUUUAAUAUAUAGCUAUACCUAUUAAAUAGCACAUUAAUUAUACUUAUUAUAUUAAAAACAACAUGUUAAAUAAAUAUUAUAUCCAUUAUACACAAAAAGUGUUUUCAGAUAUUAUGAUUAUAUAACAUUGUAUUUCUAUACAUAACCCUGAUUCAUUAUAU
rnacentral:misc_RNA from 1 species